GUCCCUGUCGCGCAAUGGAUAACCCGUUGGACUUCUAAUCCAAAGGUCGUGGGCUGGAUGCCUACCUGGGAUG